GGAUAAGCCGGACCGACCGGUUUUUGCUUGUUGUUUUUUUCUCAUUAGCAAUGCGGAAGCGGAGGAGGACAUCCGAGGUGCGCGGCGGCGUGCUUCGUGAACGCGCGUCCUUUCAAGAGCUUCGCCUUCGAAACCUGACAGCGAGGAGGAGCAGGAGCUUUAGGUCCAUCGAGAAGAGACGGAGGAGGUCCGAAGAGACGUGACGACCACGUUAGCGUGGGAGGCGUCCGAGGUGCAUAAGAAGUAGCAGGAAGGGCAGCGGGGAAAAGUGCUUCUAUGUACAAGCCGGCAUGUUAGGGGAGAGGGUGUUCCAACACAAAGUCGCUCUUCCUCCGAGGCUCACGCUGAUUGCCAGAAGACCG